GAUGAACGCUGGCGGCGUGCCUAACCCAUGUAAGUCGGGCGAUCUUUGUAGCAAUACGGAGAGAGCGGCGGAAGGGUGAGUAACACGUAGAAGACCUACCUCACUGCAGGGAACAACUUCGCGAAAGCGGAGCUAAUACCCAAAAGGUUCGGACAUUCAAUUGUUCGAGCAGAGUUCGCAAGAGCGUAGUGAGAGGGUUCUGCGGCCCAUCAGCUAGUUGGUAGGGUAGUGGCCUACCAAGGCAACGACGGGUAGGGGGUCUGAGAGGACGAUCCCCCACACUGGAACUGAAACACGGUCCAUACACCUACGGGAGGCUG
rnacentral:rRNA from 1 species